rnacentral:sRNA from 1 species
CUCAGGCUGAAGUCUAUCUCCGCAUGUAUCAGCUGGAGUCUGGGAAGUUACCUCGAAGUCCCUCUUUUCCACUGAAGCUGGGAAGUCCAGGAUUCAGGGGCUACAUCUGGUGAGGGCCUUCUUGCUGAUGACUGUCUGCAGGGUCCUGAGGUGGCACAGGAGCCAGAAGAUGAAGUAUUUCUUGCCAUAGCUAAAGCCAUGGAGGAAAUGGUGGAAGAUAGUGUCGACUGUUACUGGAUCACCCGACGCUUCGUGAACCAAUUAAAUACCAAGUACCGGGAUUCUUUGCCCCAGUUGCCAAAAGCGUUUGAACAAUACUUGAAUCUGGA